rnacentral:rRNA from 1 species
UACGAGGGGGGCGAGCGUUGUUCGGAAUUAUUGGGCGUAAAGGGUGCGUAGGCGGUUUGGUAAGUCUCUUGUGAAAUCUAUGGGCUCAACUCAUAGUCUGCAAGGGAAACUGCCGGGCUUGAGUGUGGGAGAGGUGAGUGGAAUUUCCGGUGUAGCGGUGAAAUGCGUAGAUAUCGGAAGGAACACCUGUGGCGAAAGCGGCUCACUGGACCACAACUGACGCUGAUGCACGAAAAGCUAGGGGGAGCAAACAGG